GUUUACCGGCUGCAGCGGUGAUGGAUCACCGUUUCAGUGGCAUUUAAAUCCCCGGCGCUCCUCAGUCUAGGUGACGCGCGGUCGCCCCCCCAGGCAGCCCGGGCCGCGGCGGUCGCUGCGGCCGCUGCCAGAGCUGACUUGGAGCACUGGGGCCAAAGGGAGUAGAGACUGCCUUUCUGCGCGCACCCGACUCUGCUCGCCUCCGCCUCCAGGAUGUGGGGGAUGGGAGGCGACCCUCGGCGGCCCUUUUCCCCACCCAGCCCAGAAAGCUGAACUGGCAAGAGGUCUGUUUUGCCUGAACCCAUCAACAACGGGGAGAUUAAUCAACCACACUGAAAACAGGGAGAGGGAAGGGAAGAGUCGGAAUGUAGAUGUUUGAAGCAAAUGUGUAUAAAUAAAUGAAUUUUUGAUCA